rnacentral:rRNA from 1 species
CCCAUUUCCCGUGCAUAUGCAUCGGACUCGGAUGACGAUGGUCCCGAUGAACAAGUUGAUGCGGAGGGAUUCACGGUGAAGGAGGCCGAAGCUUUCGAGAAGGUAUUCGGUCGGGAUCAUUGGACUACAUUGUUCAAGGAUGUUAGUCUCGCGGAUGAAGCCGUGGUAGAUGGUGGCCAAUUGUAUCUCUUGGGGUUAGGCCAAGCUCUCACCGUGAUUUGGGAGACGACAAGAACCGGAUUGCUAAAGGGUCUAAGUUCGAAACCUUGUUGGAAUUGA